rnacentral:rRNA from 1 species
AACGAACGCUGGCGGCAGGCCUAACACAUGCAAGUCGAACGCCCCUUCGGGGGAGUGGCGCACGGGUGAGUAACACGUGGGAAUCUACCUUUUGGUACGGAAUAACUUCUGGAAACGGAAAUUAAUACCGUAUAGUCCCUCCGGGGUAAAGAUUUAUCGCCAAAAGAUGAGCCCGCGGCCAAUUAGCUAGGUGGUGGAGUAACAGCCCACCAUGGCGACGAUUGGUAGCUGGUCUGAGAGGAUGAUCAGCCACACUGGGACUGAGACACGGCCCAG